rnacentral:rRNA from 1 species
CCUACGGGAGGCAGCAGUGGGGGAUAUUGCGCAAUGGGGGAAACCCUGACGCAGCAACGCCGCGUGAAGGAAGAAGGUUUUCGGAUUGUAAACUUCUGUUCUUAGGGAAGAAGACAGUGACGGUACCUAAGGAGCAAGCCACGGCUAACUACGUGCCAGCAGCCGCGGUAAUACGUAGGUGGCAAGCGUUGUCCGGAUUUACU